CAGCAAAAAUCAAGUGUUCAUUUGAUGAACUUCAUUUCCUAAAACAUCCAGAAUUGGAGCUCAUAUCUUUGGCAGCUGUAAAGUUUCUGCUCCUUCAAAGUUCACAACACAAUGAAUUAAUUCCUAAAACACUCUCAAUGCUGGAGAACGUUUGUGAUGCUGAAGCAGUGACCAGUUUUUCUGUUUCUUCUCUGGAGAUGCACAAUGAGGGACGUCUGCAGAGACUGAGAAAGAGUCUCACCACAUCCUGACAUGAGGAAAAAGACUUUAUUGAAGACUACAAUGAGAAAAACUAUCAGACAGCAGAUGGCUGCAUUCAAGGCUACAGGAGGAGCCCUACGAGGACGAGCCGGUCCACCUGAUGGCGGCCAGUCGCUGCGGUUCAAAGCCAACACCGACUACAUGGACUUCUACUGGACCACACGGAGGCCUUCAAACCGGAC
ensembl:lncRNA